rnacentral:rRNA from 1 species
CCUACGGGUGUCAGCAGUGGGGAAUAUUGGACAAUGGGCGAAAGCCUGAUCCAGCCAUGCCGCGUGUGUGAAGAAGGCCUUCGGGUUGUAAAGCACUUUCAGUGGGGAAGAAAGCCUUGGGGCUAAUACCCUCGAGGAAGGACAUCACCCACAGAAGAAGCACCGGCUAACUCCGUGCCAGCAGCCGCGGUAAUACGGAGGGUGCGAGCGUUAAUCGGAAUUACUGGGCGUAAAGCGCGCGUAGGCGGUCUGAUAAGCCGGUUGUGAAAGCCCCGGGCUCAACCUGGGAAUGGCAUCCGGAACUGUCAGGCUAGAGUGCAGGAGAGGAAGGUAGAAUUCCCGGUGUAGCGGUGAAAUGCGUAGAGAUCGGGAGGAAUACCAGUGGCGAAGGCGGCCUUCUGGACUGACACUGACGCUGAGGUGCGAAAGCGUGGGUAGCAAACAGGAUUAGAUACCCCAGUAGUC